GAUGAAGAACGCAGCGAAAUGCGAUAAGUAAUGCGAAUUGCAGAAUUCAGUGAAUCAUCGAAUCUUUGAACGCACAUUGCGCCCGCUAGUAUUCUGGCGGGCAUGCCUGUCUGAGCGUCAUUUCAACCCUCGCCCCCGGCUUUUGCUGGGAGCGGUGUUGGGGAUCGGCCGCCCGUCACUGGGGGCCGGCCCCGAAAUAGAGUGGCGACCACGCCGUGUGCUCCUCUGCGUAGUAGUAAAUCACCUCGCAGGCGGACAGCGGUGCGGCCUGCCGUAAAACCCCCAACUCUUUCUGGUUGACCUCAGAUCAGGUAGGAAUACCCGCUGAACUUAAGCAUAUCAAUAAGCGGAGGA
rnacentral:misc_RNA from 1 species